rnacentral:tRNA from 2 species
GCCGAAGUAGCUCAGUUGGUAGAGCAACGGUUUCGUAAACCGUAGGUCACGGGUUCGAAUCCCGUCUUCGGCUCCA